CAUUGAAGGUGUGAAUCAAAUGAUUGGCGCUGUUGUCUCUAUUCACGGCCGCAUAGACUCAUGAAUACUUCUGGAUGGCUGCCCACUCACACAACAGCAGGCUAGCAAAAUCCAGAAUCACUCAUGGUGUCCAACAAGAGAAAAAGGUUUCAAUUUGCAUGGGCUUGUUUUUGUCUAACCUACUGUGUGUGAGUGAGUCAGCUGCACUCUCAGCACACAGGACAUCACUUCCAGUCAUUGCGGGGGAAGGCGCAUCGCUGAUAUUAGGAGGCAGAUUACUAUGGGCUCCAGCUCCUCCUGCUACGCCCCCAGAACCAUUUACCUGGAUGUGA
rnacentral:lncRNA from 1 species